GGAGGUUCGGAUCAGUUACAGAGGCGACAUCAUUCUAGCCAUUGCCGACUUGGAGCUUCUGUAAAUCGAGGUGGCGCAGCUUCAAUAUGGCAUGCGAUUCUUCCCGCCGGGAGGAGGAAUAAAGAUGUAAAGCGGCGGAAUACGGUGUUUCACCACCACCAUUAUGUAUUGGCUAAGAAAGGGGAAGGGUCGUGGAAUGUUGCGUGGGAUACUAGGCCAGCGCGUUGGCUCCAUAAUCC
rnacentral:lncRNA from 1 species